UCUCCUCCCUGCUUCUUUAUUAUCAUCCUCAUUACCGAGUGUUACUGGCACCGUGCAGCCAAGGGGGGGAGGGCAGUCCCCAGAUCUACGCCUGCCUCUGACAACAGCUGAAGGGAGCACGCUGAAGCAACAACAAACGCCUUCUUUAACGUACAUUGCCUGCACAUUGAGCUGUCCCAAGCCUGGCCCGGCACUGAAAGUUUGGAGCAGGCAAAGCAGUAACCUUUACCGGUUGCUACAGUGUCUGCAAUGAAUCUGGCUGGUUGACACCUGGCCCUGGAGUGAAUCAUAAUUUUGUCAGGACAGCAGCCCUGAGAGCUGUUGUUCUCACCAGCAGCCCCGCUUAUCCAGCAGUUACUGACAAGUGCCCAUCUUUAGAACUUGGACCAAGACUGAAACAACAGAGUCUCAGGAGUCCUGCAGGCCCAUUGCUGAGAGGAACCCUGGUGAAGUUCCUGUGACUUGAAAGAAGGCAAAUUUGGUUUCCGCGUGCUGGUUCCAGGACAGCAGCUGGAGCUCAGGAGAUGCCGUGCGCCCAUUGUAGGCUCCAUCCCCUGGGGGCGAGGGUCCCUGGCCCUUCCUGGCCAGGCCCUGCCUGGGGCAUACUCGUAAGUGAAGAGUAACAAAGGUACCAAUGUCCUAAUAAUGAGACAAGGCUUGUUUUUGCAAAGCAGCUGUUCCAAACUUGUUGUCUGGAGGGUGCUUCUUCAGUGGCCAAGUGCCUAGGGAUAAAAGGGCUCAAGGUAAGAGUAGGAACAUUGACUGAGAGUAGGAACACAGCCCAGCAAUAAUAGGUUUGUGAUGAACACAAAGAAUUUUCCUCACAGUUUUGUGAAGGUUUCUGCUUCUUUCAUUUGUGGAAGAGGAGCAAACAGUUCAGGACAUGCUUCUCCCUGGGAGCUUUCCAAACUCUCACUUUCUUUUUUUGCUUUCCUUGACCCUUGCUUCACAUACUGCCUGACUACCCUCUUGUUCAGUGCAAAAAUCCUAUUAGAAGCAUACCAAUUACCAAGAAAUUAACUCAGAUACUGUCAUGCUGCUACUUUUCCACCUCAAUUAUGCAAGAUGGAAUUAAAGUGCCUUAGAAUAAGACCCUUACUGUUCUUAUGAACUCCAAACCACACCAGAAAUAUUCUACCCGGUGACCUUUAUCUGCACAUAAUUACAGUCUGAGGCAUUCUUAAAUCAUUUGCUAAGCUAUUUCUAGUGUUAUUCCAUGGUAAUCUUAAAUACCUGGGGAUUACCAGAGAUUACUGCCCCAUUUUCAGGGCACAGCAGCUAGAUUUCUAAGUAAUGCUGUGCUCUGAUACUUCUAGCAGGCACUGGUAUGUUUGAUAAAUCCGACUUUUUAAAUGAAGACUGAAAUUGCUGUAUUGCAUAGUAUAGAGAUAAAUUUAUAAUUAAUCUUUGAAACUUUGAAUAAAUUAACAAACACAAGGCUAACAAGUCUUUAUUUAAAAUAUCCGUGCUGUCUUGUGCUAAAGUCCACAUUGUAUUACAAGCAAUUUCAUGAUCAUAUUAAGUGAUCACUCUUCUGUAGUAAACUUCUUAAUGGAAUUUAAACCCUGGACUUUUGCUGUGUGCUAUGUUACGUUCGGAAGAGUGUGAGUGGAAGAAGUCACGUACAUGCCUCAGGUCGGCACAGUGGCUUCAUUCAGCAAAUAAUCUGUAUUCCAGGUAACAUUUGUAGGGAAGGGGAUGUUAUUCCAGGAGCCUGAAAUAAGCUGCUGCUUGCCUCUGGGUUGUAAACAGUUGAGCACUGGAUAGCAAUGUUGGUGGAUAAAAUUAAUAGCAUGUGAUAGCUCUUUGUGAAGCAAGCCUGUAGCAUUAGCCUUGUUUUUAUGGGUGUUUUGUGGGCUAGAGGUAUGCUUUGCAAGCCACCAGUAAAAAGUAUUUUCAGCUGUAGUGGAGGCUGACCUGAGCUGGUGUGCCACAAGGGCUGCAAUAAUCAUGUCCCCAGGCCAAAAGGGACCAUCGAGCUCAUAAUCUGGACUGCUGAACGUGGGACAUGGCCCCUAAACAAGUGGUUGUUGCAUCUGGCUCACUACUUGGAGUUGGACAGAACAAUUUGCCCCUGGUCUUGUAUUGAGGUCCAUCAGCCUUAGAAUUAAGGUGUCAGCACAAUACAGGGAAGAACAUAGGAAAAAGAAAAACAUCCUUAACGAACUGUGAAAAAUUAUCCUGAAACACUAAAACCCUUUCACAAUAUUAUAAAAAUUAAACACAAAAUAGCCCUUCUGCUCCAUAUUGUGUGUACCAAAAACAUAAAUAUAUAUAUAUAUACUUUUAUUUCCUCUGUGCUCCAGCAACUGUUGUGCAACUGCCCCAGUUAUUUUGACAUCUAGUAGUUGAUGUGAAAGUAUAUGGCUCCUUUCUAGAAGUGGUAAACGCAGUGGCAUGUUACAAGUCAAAGGAGUUUUAUAGAAAUCAUGUGAAGAAGCAUCUGGACUAUUUUCACAAUAUUUAUUGAGUUUGUGUCACAGUUUUCCUGUUUUCCUUUUUUUUUUUUCAUUGAAUUAUGAGUUCCCCUUAGUGCUGAAUAUCUUUCAGCACUGAUGCAUUUUCUUUUUCUUUAUAAGCAAAGGAGUUUCUUUUUCUUAUCUUAAAGCUAAGUUCGGUAAUGGGGCAUAAAUCAGUUCUAAUGCUAUAAUAUGCUCAGCUCUUUACCUACCCUUCAGUAAUUUCUAUAUCCCCACAUAACUGCAGGAGGAUGAAUUGCUGCCAUCCAUAGUAAUGUAAUUAAAUCCUGGAAUACACUGGUGAAAAGAUCUGCCUGUCUGGGACAUUAGCGAUGUCUUUUCGGAGCUGGCUUUGUCCCCUUGAUUAUGCAUCUGUCUGAACAUAUAUGCUCCCCUUCAUUGCAAGCAUGCAAAGAGACUCUGAACACAUUUCUCCAUGCUCAGUUUUGCCUAUGGGCUCUCAGAUACAGCAGUGAUAAUGACCCAUUACAAGCAGAUGUGGGUCGUGCUUGGAAAGCUCUGAAGGGCUACAAAGGGAUUGAACACAACCUCACCAUCCUGAACGACACGUGCAAGAGAAUUUGAUUGCUCUGUGAGCUGUGCUCCAUCAUUUUCCACAAACAAAUUGAGACAGUUAUAUUUGAAAAUCUAAGUAUAAUUGAGUUUCUCCAGUCAAAUCCUUUAGAUUCAUAACAAAGCAAUUGAGGAAACAGACAUCUUUUAAGUCUUCUUCACUUCCCUCUCCUCUGUCUGCCCAGACUAAGAAAUCUCCACUAUGUUGAAAUCCUGGCUGAUAACUGGAUCACAACUGGCAGAUGUCUAUCCACCACUCAUCUUUUACUCACAGAAGUCAGCAAAACCCCUCUUUCAUUCCACCUUUCUGCUUUCUGGCAGUUUGUAGGACUGCUGUAGGUCAGUAGGCAGGUUGUACACUAAGACGCAGUCAUGGUCUUUGCAUGUACAAAACAAGUAGCAGCCCCACCAUGAAAACUCUUACCCAUUUCAGAUAUCACCAACAUCCUUAUAAGCCUAGGAAUUUAUUCUCUUUUUUUCUCAUGUCAUUGUCAUUUUUUUUUUUCAAAUACUUUGCUUCCCUUAGAUGUCUUCUUAUUUUCUGUUUGAAUGCUGUAAGCCUAACCAUAAACUUGAAAUUUCUGAACAAAAUGAAUAGCUUUUCUUCAAGAAAACAUGGAGGAUGUCAGCUAAAUAAAUAAAAUGAUAGUGCCCAGAAUGCCUAGUAUGAUUAUGUGCUGAGGUUUUGAAAACCAGUUAUUUGUAAUAAUGUAAUUUAAAAAAAAAAAAAAGCAAAACAAGUAAUGCAAACAUUACCAAUACUUCAUUUUCUCCUUUUUCCUUCAUGACAUUCAACCUUUUGGUCCACAUUCAUUUCUUUUUCAAAACCUUUCCUUUAUGCUGCCCCUGUUAACAGGUGAUGGGUGCAGAUCAGACGGGUGAUUCCCAGCAUGUGAGCCUCCGCCUGCUGCGCUGUCAAUCUGUUCCAGUGAUGUACGGCUUGUCUGUGAACUCUGACACAGAAUGGUGUAGGUGCACAGAUUCAUGUGGGAAGAUGGAGUAUGUCAAUGACAGAGAAAUGCAUCAGGCAUUACCCAACAUAACAGAGCUGUCCCUGGCUCACUGUGGCCCCCAGCCAUAUGUUGCCAGAUGUUGGGGUGUUAGCUGCCAUGAUCCAGGCAGACCUUUUGGUAUGGUCCAUUUCGGGUGGUUUCAUACAUUGCACUGGGCAAGCUAAACAGCAGUAGGUAAACCUUUUGCUUUCAGCAGGCAGCUUUCUCUGGGUUUAUACUCCAAACUCUAAAUAUAAACAUGAAGGGAAAGGUAUCUAGAGACCGAUGCAGUAAGUCUGAAAGGAUUUAAUCCUUUUGUUUUUAAUCCCCAUUUGUGUUGAGAAUACUUCCCUCCAGUAGGAGAAAGGGAUGUCUUGAAGGCUUGUGUGGUGACACCACAGUAAGAACACACCAGUAAGCCCUCAGAGGGCAUCUACAAUACUGCUUGUCAGGGGCCUGGGACCAGCACAGGAUCCUUCAAAUCCUACCCAGAGCUUUGGGGCAAUACAUGCGAAACAGCAGCCAGGAGCAAGCAGUGCUCUGCUCACCAUCAGCUGCAGUCACAGAGCACUGAAUGGUCCUGGGGAUGCAGAAGAUGAAGAGAUUGCACACAGACACCUGCUGUACUGCCUGAGCUUAACUUCCCAGAGAACGGUCCUUAAAUAGAAAACAUCUGGUAUCAGCUGUGCUACGGGUCGGCUGAGAUCCAGUCAGAUAAAAUAAACAUUUGCUUGAAGCAGGUUUCUGACAACAUGCAUGCAAGAAAGGUCAUUUUCAUGCCUGCCUGACUGAUCAGAAUACAAAAAAGGGGAUGAAAUGUUCUAUCCACAGCCUGAAUGCAGUGUGAUUACUUUUUCAUUUUUAUUCAAGGCUUAAGUAUUGUGUUCCUCUGCCUCUCCUUCAGUGGCACAUCAUCCUCUAUUUUUCUCUUUUUACACUUCCUUGGAUUUGAACGUCAUCUCUCAUUCAAAGGGCCCUGCUCUGCCUUAGCUGCCACCUGUCUUUGCAGAUUUCGUUUGCCAGGGGCUGCGUGGAGGCAACGAGUUCACUUUGCAUUUCCAAUAUGAGUGAGCAGGAGGAUUUGGAGGCUGCAGCCAUACUCAUUAGUACCACCUGGUGCAAAGUGCACUGCAUGUCACAGGAAGGUACCUGAUUGGACAUGUAAGGAUCAGACCAUCUCUCUCAUCAAUUUCCUCGAUACAACACAGUACAAUGUCAUCCCUACGUGGUACAGAGACCAUUUAAUGAGGUGAUUCACGUCAGCCCAGAAGAUCUGCCAUUUCUUGUUAUCUACUACUCCAUCAGCCUUUGCAUUGCCUGCAUAUUUGCUGGAGGCACAUGUCUGGCUCAUCUCUAUGCCUUCAAGAGCAUCAGAAACCAGGAGGUAACUUUGUCAGUGGCAACAAAGAGCUCAAGAAAAUUAAUGAGAAAAGCUAUUACUGAAAACAGUCUUUUCAUCAAAGCUGAAGUCAUCCAAGCACACCCUUACACUA